rnacentral:rRNA from 1 species
UAGUCCACGCCCUAAACGAUGUACACUAGUUGUUGUGGUGCAAGUCACUGCAGUAAUGCAGCUAACGCAUUAAGUGUACCGCCUGGGGAGUACGGUCGCAAGAUUAAAACUCAAAGGAAUAGACGGGGACCCGCACAAGCGGUGGAGCAUGUGGUUUAAUUCGAGGAUACGCGAAGAACCUUACCUGGACUUGACAUCCUAUUAAUAAUUUAGAGAUAAGUUAGUGCUAGUUUACUAGAAAAUAGUGACAGGUGCUGCACGGCUGUCGUCAGCUCGUGUCGUGAGAUGUUGGGUUAAGUCCCGCAACGAGCGCAACCCUCGUCCUUAGUUGCUAACAGUUCGGCUGAGCACUCUAAGGAGACUGCCUUUCGCAAGGAGGAGGAAGGUGAGGACGACGUCAAGUCAUCGAUGGCCCUUAUGUCCAGGGCUACACACGUGCUACAAUGGCCAGGACAAUGAGAAGCGAUACCGCGAGGUGGAGCAAAUCUAUAAACCUGGUCUC